AGUGAACGCUGGCGGUAGGCCUAACACAUGCAAGUCGAACGGCAGCACAGUAAGAGCUUGCUCUUACGGGUGGCGAGUGGCGGACGGGUGAGGAAUACAUCGGAAUCUACCUUUUCGUGGGGGAUAACGUAGGGAAACUUACGCUAAUACCGCAUACGACCUACGGGUGAAAGCAGGGGAUCUUCGGACCUUGCGCGAUUGAAUGAGCCGAUGUCGGAUUAGCUAGUUGGCGGGGUAAAGGCCCACCAAGGCGACGAUCCGUAGCUGGUCUGAGAGGAUGAUCAGCCACACUGGAACUGAGACACGGUCCAGACUCCUACGGGAGGCAGCAGCGGGGAAUAUUGGACAAUGGGCGCAAGCCUGAUCCAGCCAUACCGCGUGGGUGAAGAAGGCCUUCGGGUUGUAAAGCCCUUUUGUUGGGAAAGAAAAGCAGCAGGUUAAUACCCCGCUGUUCUGACGGUACCCAAAGAAUAAGCACCGGCUAACUUCGUG
rnacentral:rRNA from 1 species